rnacentral:lncRNA from 1 species
UAUACAAACACCGUCCCUCUAGGCCCGGAGACUGUCAUGGAAGAGAUUUACAUGUUGAAGCCCUACCUCCUGAUAUAACUACUGGGAAAUAAAAGUAAAAUUCUAAGCCCCUCAACUGAGUGAACAGACCUUCUCUUGGCCAUAGCAACCCCAGAAUAACCUUGAAAA